rnacentral:rRNA from 1 species
GACGUAGGGGGCCAGCGUUGUUCGGAAUUACUGGGCUUAAAGGGUGCGUAGGCGGGUCUUUAAGUCAGGGGUGAAAUCCUGGAGCUCAACUCCAGAACUGCCUUUGAUACUGAAGAUCUUGAGUUCGGGAGAGGUGAGUGGAACUGCGAGUGUAGAGGUGAAAUUCGUAGAUAUUCGCAAGAACACCAGUGGCGAAGGCGGCUCACUGGCCCGAUACUGACGCUGAGGCACGAAAGCGUGGGGAGCAAACAGG